AUGUACCGGCCAUGGAUUGCUCAAGAUCAAGCGAUCCUCUCGGCGAUUCAGUCCUCUCUCACCGAGGGCGUCGCCGGCUUGGUGUUAUUUGCUACCACGUCUCAUGAAGUAUGGGAUGCGUUGGAGUCCAGUUUCUCCGCACAAUCCUCGUCGCAGCACAUGUCUCUUCGUGCACAACUCAAUGAGACUCGCAAGGAUCAUCACUCUGUCACCGUCUUCUUCAACAAGAUCAAACGCCUCGCCGACCAGCUAGCCUCCAUCGGCGAGCCACUUCGUGACACAGAGUUCACCACAUAUGUUCUCCAAGGUCUCGAUGCCGAGUAUGACUCUCUUGUGGAGGUGAUCCAGGAACGCAAGGUUCCCAUCAAGCCGCAAGAACUCUUCCAGCGCCUCCUCUCAACAGAACAACGCCUUGCCAGUCGUCAUCCAGAUGAGCCCCCCUCGGCUAACGCUGCUGUUCGUGGUGGGAAGGGGCGUUCUGGUGCUCGCCCUGCUGCUCCUUCGCCUGUUUCAACUCCUCCUACGGGAGGCAAGGGUGGUGCUCCUACGGCUGCUUCCUCCCAAUCGCGUCCUACUAUUGUCGUCGAGAACGGGCGCCCAUGUGCUUGCUGUGCUGCUUGUGGAGCUGUUGCCCCUUGUCAGCUAUGUGGAAUUCCUCGCCAUGUUGCAUCUCGCUGUCACCGCCGUUUUCAGCCUGAGUUUCUCGGUCUUGGCAACAACGGCAAGGGCAAUGAGCGACAAGUCAACAUGACGCAGCAUCAAGGAAAGACUCAAUCGUAUAAUGUUGAUCCCACUUGGUACAUGGACACUGGCGCCACAGAGCACGUGACGAAUGAAUUGGACAAGCUUGCUAUUCGGGAGGCCUACCAUGGUCCUGACAAGGUUCACACAGCAAAUGGGGCAGGACCGGGCCACACAGGACGUACUUCUUAG
rnacentral:rRNA from 1 species